AUGAGUGACUAUCAAAUAUGAAGAUGAUUGGAGUUAGUAGCAGCAGAGAAAGAGAAGAACAACUCAAGCAUGGCACAAACGCUAGCAAUGCCCGUAUCUCCCUCCCUCGCCCUAAUCUCAAACCCUAAACCUCUUUCGAGAACCGUCUCCUUUCCCGUUCUCAACCCUCCCAAGGUGAGAGGAUUAAGCAUAGAGUGCGCUCGUGUUGGCGGAGUGGAGAUUCCGAACAACAAGAGAAUCGAGUUCUCGCUACAGUACAUCCAUGGAAUCGGGAGAAGCAGAGCUCGCAAGAUUCUCUGCGAUAUUAGCAUGGACAACAAGGUCACUAAGGAUCUCAGCGAGGAGGAACUCAUCACUCUUAGGGAUGAAGUCUCCAAAUACGUCAUCGAAGGCGAUUUGAGGAGGUUUAAUGCGUUGAAUAUAAGGAGAUUGAAGGAGAUUCAGUGCUACAGAGGAAUAAGGCAUAUUCAGGGUCUUCCUUGCCGAGGACAGCGUACAAAGAACAAUUGCAGGACCUUGAAGGGUAAGAAGGUUGCUAUUGCUGGCAAGAAGAAGAAGUAAUCAAUUCUCAGUAUUUUCAAAUCAUUUCUAUUCAAUUCUAGACACUAGACACUUGGACAGUGCCCGCGUACAUGUCCAUGAAUGAAAGCCAGGCCUUGGUGCUGCAAUAUUGUGGUAGUCAAAUACUCUCUCCAUUUUAUACUAGAUAUGUUGUAGUAUAUUUAUAAAUUAAGGUAUGUAGAUGCAAUAUGUCAAAAGGUUCCUAGAAAAAUCAAAACAACUUAGUAACAUGGAAGGAGGGAGUGUAAGGCGCUUGAACUGAGUAGCUGUGAACUUUGGUAAAUGUCAUCAAACAUAUUCUAUGUUCUAACGGUAAUUUUUCCCUUUCUCCAAUGGAAAUGCUACCGGUAAUAUUAACUGAAUCUUGUAGCUUGAUUCAGCCAUAGCCUUUGUAAUUUAUGUUAUUCAAUUUUUAGUAACUUUCAUGUAGGUGCUGGUAUUAGUGUGGUUUUUCACCUGCUAGUCUGCUACAUCACUUUCAUGUUGAUCACUGCACUUUUUAUUACCUGCUUCACCCAGAAAAAAAAAGAUCAUUUUUGUUGUCACAUUAUUCUUCAAUCAUAAGCUUGCGAGUGUGGCUUGUUUGUUGCAGCUCAAAAUAUUAUUGAGUUGCUUUCUUAUGCUUAAGGCCUUAAGCACUUAAAUCGCUUAUGAAACACAUUAAGUCAUUAUGUGGGAGAAAAGCUACUGCUUUGUGACAUAAUUCGAUGUGUGGCAUUUGGCAAAGAUAUAGGAACAACAAAAUUAGCCAACAUAGCAUGUUUGUUUAGUUGUGUAGAGAAUGUAGAUAUAAAUGAGGUGACUUAACUAGAGAUAUAAAAGGAAAAAGAAGUGUAAUGUACUCCAGAACCAGAACACUCAAUCAAAUAGAAUUCUGUUUUUCACAAAAA